GACAGAGGGGGCAAGCGUUGCUCGGAAUUACUGGGCGUAAAGGGCGCGUAGGCGGCCUUCUUAGUCGAACGUGAAAUCCCCGGGCUCAACCCGGGAACUGCGUCCGAUACUGGAAGGCUCGAAUCCGGGAGAGGGAUGUGGAAUUCCAGGUGUAGCGGUGAAAUGCGUAGAUAUCUGGAGGAACGCCGGUGGCGAAGGCGACAUCCUGGACCGGUAUUGACGCUGAGGCGCGAAAGCCAGGGGAGCAAACGGG
rnacentral:rRNA from 1 species